CGGGAAAAGGAAGAUGAAGAAUCUGGGGUCUGAUUGGAAGAAAAGGAGGAAGUAAGGGUAUCGUUUGGGCGUUAGGGGCAAGGCUGGAUCCCUCCUGCCCUUCCUUCCUUCCGGUUUACUCGAAUUCCGCCUAUCCGGGAAAACCCUACUUAGAUUUAGGUUUCGCCCGGUGGACGUUUGACGUGGCGAUAAGAUUAGAUUGAGAAAUCGCUUCUUAACCCGAAAGACUGGGGUUAGUGUCUGGAUGUAGACACAUCUAUACAUACCAGGGCUUAGAGUCGAGCAACUUUUAGACCUAGGAAUUGCAAGAAAGGGGCUUACCCGAAAUGAUAGAGGAAGUUCGUCACGUGGGAGUUCCCUAUAUCAAUGAAACCAAGUUCCGGCCCCUGACCUGUAUCUGUACGGGAGGGGAAUAUCUUAGAGGCCAUCUAAGUGCAUCCUUCUCAUUUUACAGAUGAAGAAGCAGAUUUAGGGAGGUUGGAAAUUGCUUAGGAUCACACAGAUGAGGAAACUGACGCAAAAAGGGUUAUGUGACUUGCUACUAAGCCUCUGAGGCCAGACAUGGAGGACAGGAGGUGAAAAUGCAGAAUUGAAAGAUGGAAUGUCUUGUUUGGGAAACAUCAAGAAGGUUGAUUUUCCCACCAUCUGUAGGAAAAGGCACAGGUUAGAAAAAGACCUGGAGAAGAAAGCUCAUGAAACUAGCAUUUCAUUACAUUCUGAAAUAAGAGUGUAACAACUUCCUCUGUAACUCAGGCUCCUGAGUUGUUAAAAGUGAUAUUAGCUUUCACUGGUUGCCCUGAAGUUGAAGAACACCAGCCUGGGGAGUAAUCAGAAGCAUCUUUCUUUAGCCAGUAUGAGACAUUUCCACACAAGCAAGCCCAAGGUCCCCUGCUGGCUACAAUGGAAUCUGCCACACUCACCGCCAACUGGAAGGUGCUUUAGGAGAUCUUCCUGUUCAUCUUCUGUGAGUUUUAUCCCCAUGUCCUUCAGAAAAUCGUCCAGGCUUUGAACAUCAACGUUUUCUGUUUAUAAAAGAUGAGAAUAGUGAAUGGUGUGAAUGUGAGGAGUACAAAAGAUACUACCUAAUCCUGUGUUCCAUCAUCUCUAAAUUCAACAAGAAGAGAAGAGUGGCCAUUGGGAUGAGCCUAACCAUGCAGGGAAAAUCACUUGUGAAUUCAGAAACACAAAAUAUUUCCUUUUGUUUCAGAGGACUAUGCUAGAUUGAAGAGACCUAAAAUGAGGAAUGGGAAAUGAGAAAUAAACAAUUAUCCAGUGAAGUGUGGCAAAAUCAGUGCCUCUUUAACCUAUAUUGAUCUGGCCAAUAAGUAUAGUUUGGUUUUCUUUACUUUUAUUCCAAUGGUUUUUGACUCAUUAGAAUGCAAUCUUACACUUCACCACUGGCUUGGAGACUUAGAAUUUUGUGUGUUUUAACUCUAGGAAAAGUCAAACAUAAAGAUAGAGAUUAUAUUCCAGAAAAUUCAGAACUUGGUUCAAAAAGCCUGGAGAGUAUUUAAUUUAGGGAGCCUUAAAGGAAAUAUAAAUAGAGAGAUGAUCAUUUAACAGAUUCAUUCACAAUAGAGAAUGUACAGUUGUUAUCUAAGACUCCUGGUUCUCUCUCACUUUCCAUAUCCAGUCAUUUGCCUAAUCUUGCCAUUUCCCCCUUGAUAACAACUCUCACACCUACCUCCUUUUCUCUCUACUUACUCAGGUACAUUCUUAGCUCAAGUCAUCCAUCUCUCCUUUGAAGAAACUUUAUAAUUGUUUCUAAUCUGUUCAAUCCAUCUUCCACACAGCUGCCUAACUAAUUGUCUUUAAGCACAGAUCAAUUGAUCAUAUCCCUCAAUAAAUUUCCAUUUCCCUAUUUCUCCUGGAUCAAAUGCAGAAACACCUCUCUCCUCACUUUCCUGGCCUAUUUCUAUUCUUCACACAUGACCUUCCAUUUCCUUUUUUCUAUAUUAACUUAAUGGCUGUUCCCUAUGCUCUCUUUACAUCAACCACAAAGACCCUUUCUUCCUUUGAAAUGAACCAGAAUUUCUGCUUCCUAUGAGGAGGUUUUCCUGAUUCUUCCAGUGGUAGGGCCCUCUUUCCCUAAUUAUGUCAUAUUCAAUCUGUGUAUGUAUGUAUAUGUUGUGUUUCCAAAAGUGUGAAUUGGGAGUAUUUCAUUGUUUUGUGUUUGUAUCUCCAGUGUUUAGAAGAGAUGUGGUAAGAACUUACUAAAUGUUUACAAAUUGAUUAUUUCAGUAUAUGCAGAUUAAGAAAUUAUUUUUAAUAUAUAUUGUUAGAGAUAUAUUGUUAGAGAGCUUUCUGAAAGAGCACUUGGCCUUAGUAAGUGUCAGAGACAGAACUUGAAUCCUGGUCCUCUUGACUCUAAGGCUCUAUUUCUAUCCACUCUCCCAUGCUUCCUUUUAUGGAUUUAUGUGGAAAAUAUUGAGAUGUUACCUGGAUUUUCACUUCUAACUCACCUUGAAUAGUUUUUGCAUUAUCCAUAACUUCUUUGAGGUUGACCUUUCCAUCAUCUAUAUGAGAGAGCACAUGUUAGAAGGAGAUCUAGUGAAGAAGAACCUCACAAAAACCAUUUUAUUAUAUUCCAUAAGCCAGAGAAACUGAACUGUUUUCUCUGAAUACAAGUAAUUAUCUUGGAAUUUUAUUUUCUCUAUAGAAUAAUUCAUGAGGAAGCUGAGGAAUGAAGAAAGCUCUCAAUCUGUUAACUGAGGGUAAUAAAAGUAACAAUGAUAGUUAGCAUUUGCCUAGGGCUAUAAGAUUUACCAAAUACUUCAUAAAUAUUAACUCAUUUUAUCCUCACAACAGUCCUGGUAGUCAGGAGGUGUUAUUUUUAUCUCCAUUUUACAGGUAAGGAAGCUAAGACAGAGAGGUUACAUAGCUUGGCAUAGAUAACAAAACUAACAUGUCUAAGGUAUUGAAUUUUGGCAUUCCUGAUUCUGGGUUCAGUCCUACAUACAUUAUACCACAGUUAUUCAGAGCUUCCUUUCUCCUUGCUAUUGACCAUCAGAAGGAUAAUAACGAGGCAUUAUUUUAGUAUUGUAAUUGUAAUCAGUUUAUUUUAGUAUUGGAAAAGAAUUGACCCCUUCAUAUCUUUUGGUCUCAACUUCUUUCUCUAUAAAAUGAAGGUCUCAGACUAGGUGAUCUCCAUAUCCCUUCCCAGCAGGGACAUAAUAUGAUCCUGUGGCCUAGGAAACUCCCAUUUUUUUUGAUAAUACAAAACAAGAGGAACUAGUUUUUUUCUUUCUAUGUUCUGACUGCAUUCUUGAAUGUGGUUAAUAUUUUAAUGUAUCUUUGAAGACUGACUUUGUCUAAUUAGCAGUGUAAGGUAUAUCAUCUCUGAGGAAACAAAUAUACAACUUUAUUAUAAAAUGUCAAGUUUAAAUAGCAUUUAAAUAAUUUGGGUGAAAAUACUAUGGCCUCUUUUGAAGACCAGUUCCUUUAGUGGGCUAACUUUGUGAAAACCUCAGAAAUGGAAACAUUUAACUAAAGAAUAAGCUUUUGCUAUUACAGGCAAACAUGUAAUCAAUGACAUUUAUUCAUGCCUUUAAAAUGUACCGAGUUAUUUAUAUAAAUAUCUCAUUAAGCCUUAUGAGAAUCCUGUGUGUUCGGUGUUGUGGACUCCUUGAGUGUCAUCCUCAAUUCUGUCCUUUCUACUAUUCCUCACUCUUAACUAAUUGCCAAGACUUGUUCAUUCUCUUCCUACAUCUAGUUGCUUGCUUCUCUCCACCCACAUUCAAAUUGUUUAUUUCCAGGUGUCAAUUUAAUUUAGAUAAAGGAUCCACAUAUGCUAUUUAGGCCAAUAGCAACUCUCAAAGGUUACUGAAGAAAUGAGAAAGGGUUUAAAAAUGUGAUGGAGGACAUUCACAACGCCAGGGUCAUGAAUUCUAGAAAUAUUCAAUAUUCACAUGUCUUGACAACUGGUCAAAAGGGCUUAGUUGAGGAUCCCAUUUUCUUUUUCUGAGAUCAUGAAUUUAAUCUGAGUGGUAGAUGCUUUUAAAAAAUCUUUUCACUUGCAUGCCAAUUCUUAAAUAGCUUAUAAUAUCAUAAUAUCUACAUCUUUUAUUACCAUGGUCAGGUAAAUAUUUAAAGGCCAUACAAGUCAUCAGUGGGCUAAUAUAAAAGACCAAGUAGGCAAUGAGCAUAUGGAAUCAUUAUGAGAAUUUUGACCACUAGAUGAUGAUGUUGAUGAUGAUUUUUUUGGGAGGGCUAAAGGAAGAUGAAAAAAUAGACUUAAAUAGGUUUAUAGUCUUGCUCAGGAUAUUUGGACCAAUGAAAACAUGGAUCUUUUUAAAAUAACAAUAAUGAUCAGAAUUUAUAGUACUUUAAGGUUUUUAAUACUGUAUAUUUAAAAAUAUAUAAAUACAUAACAGAAUUAUAUAUCUAUAUAUCUAUAUCUUUUUUUCCUCAAUUGAUUCUUACCAUAACUUUAUGUAGCAGACACUAUUCCUAUUCCUAUUGUAUAGAUGAGUAAACAAAGGUUAAGUGGGGAUAGUGAGUUACCCGGGAUCAUACCAGUAAGCAUCUAAAGCAAGAUUUGAGCUCAGGUCUUCUUGGUUCCAAAUUCAUUAUUAGAAUAUUUCAUCUGGCUGGUUAGAAUUCCCUUAUAACAGUCACAUUGGACUCUACUCCUUAAAGAUGGCCACUAGGCUGUUCAGGAGGGAGUAAGGAAUCUUCCAUUCCUGUGUUUGUAGUGAGUGGCCUUCUGGAAAACUUGUGACUUGAAGGUUCAGUCAAAGAUAAUAUUUCUUCAUUCAUUAUGAUGGGCUUUCUCUGUAGGAAUUGCUAUCUUUUCCUGUGAAUUUAGUAAGUAUCCUUAUAGACAUUCUCUGACAGGAAAUUGUGAAGAUUAAAUUUAACUCUCCCCUGAUUGUGAAAAUGAAAUUAUUUAAAUCUCCCUUGAUUGUGAAAAUUAAAUUAACUCCCUUGACCAUUUUUAGAUCUAAUCACCAUAAGUGUAAAUAUCCCACUUAAUCAUUUAGUGGGAAGGUUUGUGACCCACAUGUGCAAUAGUGGGUGACAAAUCAGAAUCAACUGACAGCCUCCUGGGCAGUCCUAAGCAAGGCUUUAGACUAUGAUUUGUCCAUAUAAAAAGUGGAGGAAGGCACAGGAAGUGAUGCAAAAGAAAGUGUCUUUAAAAGGAAUUACAACUUUCUGCAAGAGACAGUUCUUCAUUCUUUGGAGUUGAGAUUGGCAAAGAAUCUGCUGACUGGACCUGAGACCCUGUUCCUUGUGAGACUCUUCUUAAAUCUCUCCCUUUGGACUGACAUGUGGUGAGUGAAAAGGCUGACUCCUUUCCUGGAUUUUCUGAAGAGACUAGCCUCAGGAGAGACCUACCUCUUGAGAGAGACUUCUCCAGGCCCUCAGCUUUGCUGAAGCCUCUCCGUCUAAGGACUAACUCUCCCUGCCCGGGUUGAGCCAGGAACUGGGAGUAAAUUACUUAGUGCUUAGGCUAGAUAUCUUACUCUAUCCUCUCUCUGAUUUUCUUACUUCAUUCUUUCUAUAUUUUGUAAAUAAAUCUCUUUGGAAUAAAUUAAAUUCCUGGUGACCCUAUUCUUAUAUAAUCCAGACCAACCUUUUUAAUUUAAAAUAACCCCCUUUUUCCCCUUACAAAAUCAAGGUUUUCCCAAAAGCAUACAAAGACAUUAGAAAUGCUCACCAU